GUUGUAGACAGCUUAAAGCAGCAACAAUGCUUCUUACUCAGACUGCUAGCUUGUAGCUCUUAGGGCUUAGACAUUUUUAUGCGUGCAUUUAAGUAGUGAUUAUAUGCAGCAAAUAAGCAUAACAGUCUACUCAAUCAAUUAAAGAAGAGUUACUCUAAACAUUUAAGAGCUUUCAUCCUUAUUAUUGAACUUCAUCUUGCUCACUUCUGAACUAAUCAAUCUCUAUCAUCUUCUUGAAUUUUUAUUUAUGAGUUGAGAGUGAUAUACACCCAAAUCAACCUUAUUUGUAUUUAUGAGUUGUUUGUAUUCAAUUGGAGGUAAAGAAGUCCAGAUGCAAUAUGAGAUUUUGGAUACCAUGCAGUGGGAAUCAGCAUUAUCUAUGCAAGAAGAAUAGAAUAAUAAUGUGUGCCUCUACAUGUGAGGACUGUGCGCCGGUGAAGGUCUAUUGGUUUUAUCAAUAGAGAAUGGCACUAGCUAUCUUUUGUAUUCUCUCCUUGUAUUGAUAAUCUUUAGUAUUCUCUCCUCUUUACUGUACUGUUUUCGGCACUUGAAGAGAGGAAAGAGCACGUCAAAUUACCACAUGUAUGACACAGAAAUUAUAAUCUCAAAAAUCAACUACUCCAAAACUGAUUGCAAGAUUCUCACUCUUAUCUCCACUUCUAUCAAUGCCAAAACAAGAAGAAAAGAGAAACCAGUGGCCAACAAUACCAGUAAUAUCAUCUUUCUAGUAUCUGCUAUCUUUUUCUUGUCUCUCUUCAGUUUAACCUACGGCGAUUCUCAGCUUGCUGUGGAUGGCCAACUGUACCAUGAUAACUGUCAUAUUCAUUUCAUAACCAAAGCCACUAUGUCCAUCAAAGGUUUGUUUGGAGUGCAAGGACCGUGAAGGCGACACUCAAACCUACAGCAAAGAAGCUGAAACUGACGAGACCGGAACGCAUCACAUUCCAGUGGAGGGAGAUCAUGAGGAGCUUUGCCAGGUGAUGCCAAUAAAAUCCCCAGACCCUGAUUGUAGAGAGAUCAGCCAAGACCCUUUCGUUAAGAAAGCUGCUUGUAUUAGCCUUACACAGGAAAACGGCAUUGCUAGUGCUUUCCUGUGUAAAAGAAUCUCUCCUGUCAGCGUGCUGAGAUCCUCAGAGAAUAUAAGAUUAACUUUAAAAACUGUUAAUUAUUCUCAUUGUUUAUAUAUUUUGUGGAGUUAAUGUUAUAUAUUUGUAACUUAUCAAAAAAUAAAAUUUAAAUUUAAAAAAAUGCUAUAAUAGAGUGUAGUUAAAUUAGAAAAUGC
rnacentral:misc_RNA from 1 species